rnacentral:rRNA from 1 species
UAGAGUUUGAUCCUGGCUCAGGAUGAACGCUAGCGACAGGCUUAACACAUGCAAGUCGAGGGGCAGCACGGGAGUAGCAAUACAACUGGUGGCGACCGGCGCACGGGUGAGUAACGCGUAUGCAACCUACCUAUCAGAGGGGAAUAACCCGGCGAAAGUCGGACUAAUACCGCAUAAAACAGGGGCACCGCAUGGUGAUAUUUGUUAAAGAAAUUCGCUGAUAGAUGGGCAUGCGUUCCAUUAGGUAGUUGGUGAGGUAACGGCUCACCAAGCCGACGAUGGAUAGGGGAACUGAGAGGUUGGUCCCCCACACUGGUACUGAGACACGGACCAGACUCCUACGGGAGGCAGCAGUGAGGAAUAUUGGUCAAUGGGCGAGAGCCUGAACCAGCCAAGUCGCGUGAAGGAAGAAGGAUCUAUGGUUCGUAAACUUCUUUUGCAGGGGAAUAAAGUGCGGGACGUGUCCUGUUUUGUAUGUACCCUGAGAAUAAGGAUCGGCUAACUCCGUGCCAGCAGCCGCGGUAAUACGGAGGAUCCGAGCGUUAUCUGGAUUUAUUGGGUUUAAAGGGUGCGUAGGUGGUUUUAUAAGUCAGCGGUGAAAGUUUGCAGCUUAACUGUAAAAAUGUCGUUGA